rnacentral:rRNA from 1 species
UCAGGACGAACGCUGGCGGCGUGCUUCAUACAUGCAAGUCGAACGAGAAGUCACCUUCGGGUGAUGGAAAGUGGCGGACGGGUGAGUAAUGUGUAGAGAAUCUGCCCUUUAGUGGGGGACAACAGUUGGAAACGACUGCUAAUACCCCAUAUGCGCGUAGCUGAGAUGCUAUUCGUGAAAACUCCGGUGCUAAAGGAUGAGUCUGCAUCUGAUUAGCUAGUUGGCGGUGUAAUGGACCACCAAGGCGACGAUCAGUAGCUGGUUUGAGAGGAUGAUCAGCCACAAUGGGACUGAGACACGGCCCAUACUCCUACGGGAGGCAGCAGUAGGGAAUUUUGCGCAAUGGGGGAAACCCUGACGCAAGCAACGCCGCGUGAUUGAAUAAGCCCUUCGGGGUGUAAAGAUCUGUCAGUAGGGACGAAACUUGACGGUACCUACAGAGGAAGCAUCGGCUAACUCCGUGCCAGCAGCUGC